CCCUCAACCACCCCUAACAUUGUAGCUCUCAUGCAGCAUUACACACGCCAAAGGCAAAUACUCUCACAGUACAAGGUGAUCUCUGGUACUCCCAAAAGCCAAAUAAAUCAGGUAAUGCGAUACAAGAAAGCAGAGCUUUAGACCUGAGAAGAAUCAGCACAUGACUGUUGAAACUCCACAGCAAAUCAGAACAGCUCAAAAAGGGCUGCAUGGAAUUUUAGUGAAUCCAGAGGCCUUGUUCCCCGUAAUUUGGAGUUCUCCUUCGAAUUUGACCAACUCAGGUAGAGUUAAUCAAAUCUGAUGGAAGAAAACCAAAAUAACAAAACAAAUAUGAUUACUGAGGACUUUUAAUGGAAUGAGGCUCACGCUGAACACUGCUGUCUACCAUCUAUGAAGCAGGAAAAAACUCAAACUCACUUUCUCUGUUGGAAGGGAGCAGAAACUCCAGAAAGGACUUGCUGGCCCUCCAUCAUCAUGGAAACAGGAAAACUAAUCUUCCUUGUUGGAAGUGAGUAAAACUCCAGGAAAGGAGUUAUAAAGCAAAAUGAACCUUAGACCUCAACCAAAUUUGGGGAGAGCAAUGAUUCUCUGAAGGGACCUCCCAGACCUCAGCAAAUUGUAUUAUUGGUUUGAGCAAUAAAGAUAGGCCAAGCUGGUACCAAGCAUGGAUGGAUUUGUCAAAGAUCAGGCCACCUCAUCUCUUCCAUUGGCCACCAGUUUAUAAACCAAAGAGUAUCUGAGACAGGUCUCAAUCAAUUCAGAAGUUUAUUUUGCCAAGGUUAAAGACAUGCCUGGAAGAAAAUAACAUGGACCCACAGGAACAGUCUGUGGUCUGAGUCUUUCUCCAAAGAUAAAUUUCAAGGCUUCAAUAUUUAAAGGGAAAAUGUAGGCUGGAGGGGAGAGGGGUAGAGUAUAGUAAUCCCCAUGUUGUAAGAGAAAAGGAGCGGGUACGGGAAUAGUCAAUUAUGUAUUCAUCUCAUGCUCAAUAAAUUGGCACUUUACAUAAGAUA
rnacentral:lncRNA from 10 species